GAUGAACGCUGGCGGCGUGCUUAACACAUGCAAGUCGAGCGGUAAGGCUCCUUCGGGAGUACACGAGCGGCGGACGGGUGAGUAACGCGUAAGAAUCUACCCCGAACUGAGGGAUAAGCCCUGGAAACAGGGUCUAAUACCGCAUAGUCUCUAAGGAGUAAAGCUACGGCGGUUUGGGAAGAGCUUGCGUAUGAUUAGCUAGUUGGUAGGGUAAUGGCCUACCAAGGCGACGAUCAUUAGCUGGUCUGAGAGGAUGACCAGCCACACUGGGACUGAGACACGGCCCAGACUCCUACGGGUGGCUG
rnacentral:rRNA from 1 species